UUUAUGGAGAGUUUGAUCCUGGCUCAGGAUGAACGCUGGCGGCGUGCCUAAUACAUGCAAGUCGAGCGAACAGACGAGGAGCUUGCUCCUCUGACGUUAGCGGCGGACGGGUGAGUAACACGUGGAUAACCUACCUAUAAGACUGGGAUAACUUCGGGAAACCGGAGCUAAUACCGGAUAAUAUAUUGAACCGCAUGGUUCAAUAGUGAAAGACGGUUUUGCUGUCACUUAUAGAUGGAUCCGCGCCGCAUUAGCUAGUUGGUAAGGUAACGGCUUACCAAGGCAACGAUGCGUAGCCGACCUGAGAGGGUGAUCGGCCACACUGGAACUGAGACACGGUCCAGACUCCUACGGGAGGCAGCAGUAGGGAAUCUUCCGCAAUGGGCGAAAGCCUGACGGAGCAACGCCGCGUGAGUGAUGAAGGUCUUCGGAUCGUAAAACUCUGUUAUUAGGGAAGAACAAAUGUGUAAGUAACUAUGCACGUCUUGACGGUACCUAAUCAGAAAGCCACGGCUAACUACGUGCCAGCAGCCGCGGUAAUACGUAGGUGGCAAGCGUUAUCCGGAAUUAUUGGGCGUAAAGCGCGCGUAGGCGGUUUUUUAAGUCUGAUGUGAAAGCCCACGGCUCAACCGUGGAGGGUCAUUGGAAACUGGAAAACUUGAGUGCAGAAGAGGAAAGUGGAAUUCCAUGUGUAGCGGUGAAAUGCGCAGAGAUAUGGAGGAACACCAGUGGCGAAGGCGACUUUCUGGUCUGUAACUGACGCUGAUGUGCGAAAGCGUGGGGAUCAAACAGGAUUAGAUACCCUGGUAGUCCACGCCGUAAACGAUGAGUGCUAAGUGUUA
rnacentral:rRNA from 1 species